AUUGAAUUGUAAUCAAAGCCAAAUGAAUUAAAAAAAUUUAAAACAAAAAAAUAAAACUAAAAUAAACAUACAAUAGGAACAAAUUGAUAGUAACAAAAAUUACUAUUACAAAAAAAUAAUUGUAAUACAAUAUUUAAAAGUUUGUGUAAAAAUAAAAAACAAAAGGGGAAAAAGUACAAAAAAGGAAAAGCAAGAAAAAAUGGCGAGGUUAUAUGUAGGAAAAAAAUAUAAAAUAUGUAAAAGGAUUUAAAAAAAAAAGAAAUUAGAAAAAAAAUGCAAGGAAAAUGGUCAACAAUAUCGACAAAAAACCAAGGUCGCGUGUAGAAGAAGCACAACACACCAAAGUCAUGUAGGAGAAAGAGAUAGAGAUAGGGGUAAAUUAGUCUUUUUACUGUUUUUAUGAACUGUAAGAGGAUGCUCUCUUUUAGUAUGUAUUAAUAAUAUGGCAUGUAAUAGCUUGACAAUUUAUGAUGCAUGUAGGGACAAACCCAUAUAUGGGGCUAGGGGGUCAUGGGCCCCUUUGAAGUUUCACAAGAAAUUACGACUAUAAUGAUUUACAUUUUUAAUAAAAAUUGAAAUUUAUUAUUAAUGGAAAAUAUAAUUAUUGUGUAUACAAAUUUGAAAGUCUAUAAUAUUGUUUUAUAUGUACAAAAGAUAAUAAUGGUUAUUUCUUUGAAAUUUCAAAUUUUAGUAUUAAAAAAAUGUAAAAAUUCACAUGUUGAGUAAGUAUUACCCUAAAUCUUCUGCAACAAAUUUUCACUUGCCUUUAGGCUUCAACGAUAACUAAUGACAACUAACUCUUAACCCCAAACGAGUUGCGGUAAAAUACUUACCUUUAGCCUCAAAG
rnacentral:misc_RNA from 1 species